rnacentral:rRNA from 1 species
AACGCGAAGAACCUUACCAGCCCUUGACAUCCCGGUCGCGGACUCCAGAGAUGGAGUUCUUCAGUUCGGCUGGACCGGAGACAGGUGCUGCAUGGCUGUCGUCAGCUCGUGUCGUGAGAUGUUGGGUUAAGUCCCGCAACGAGCGCAACCCCCGUCCUUAGUUGCUACCAUUUAGUUGAGCACUCUAAGGAGACUGCCGGUGAUAAGCCGCGAGGAAGGUGGGGAUGACGUCAAGUCCUCAUGGCCCUUACGGGCUGGGCUACACACGUGCUACAAUGGCGGUGACAAUGGGAUGCGAAGGCGUAAGCCCUGGCAAAUCUCAAAAAGCCGUCUCAGUUCGGAUUGGGCUCUGCAACUCGAGCCCAUGAAGUUGGAAUCGCUAGUAAUCGUGGAUCAGCACGCCACGGUGAAUACGUUCCCGGGCCUUGUA